rnacentral:rRNA from 1 species
UACGUAGGGUGCAAGCGUUGUCCGGAAUUACUGGGCGUAAAGCGCACGUAGGCGGCGAUCUAAGUCAGAGGUGAAAGCCCGGGGCUCAACUCCGGAAUAGCCUUUGAGACUGGAUUGCUAGAAUCCGGGAGAGGUGAGUGGAAUUCCGAGUGUAGAGGUGAAAUUCGUAGAUAUUCGGAAGAACACCAGUGGCGAAGGCGGCUCACUGGACCGGCAUUGACGCUGAGGUGCGAAAGCGUGGGGAGCAAACAGG